rnacentral:rRNA from 1 species
AUGGGCGCAAGCCUGAUGCAGCCAUGCCGCGUGUGUGAAGAAGGCCUUCGGGUUGUAAAGCACUUUCAGCGAGGAGGAAGGCGUUNNGGUUAAUACCCGGNGCNAUUGACGUUACUCGCAGAAGAAGCACCGGCUAACUCCGUGCCAGCAGCCGCGGUAAUACGGAGGGUGCAAGCGUUAAUCGGAAUUACUGGGCGUAAAGCGCGCGCAGGCGGUUUGUNAAGUCAGAUGUGAAAUCCCCGGGCUCAACCUGGGAACUGCAUUUGAAACUGGCAGGCUAGAGUCUUGUAGAGGGGGGUGGAAUUCCAGGUGUAGCGGUGAAAUGCGUAGAGAUCUGGAGGAACACCGGUGGCGAAGGCGGCCCCCUGGAC